AAUCAACUGAAGAAUGCUUUAAAUGAUUAAUUUCUGCCUUUGUGUACAAUCUGUCUUUUACAAUUCUACAAACUCUAACAUUCUACAUCGAAACUGCAAAGAAAUAAGUACGAAAUAUUACCUUAAGAGUCUUAAAUCUGAACACAAAGAAAAUACUGCAUCGUGAAAUUAUGUGACAAAUCUAUUCAAACGUUUGGAAACAAUACAAAUACGAGUCAGAUGCCAAAUACAGCUGAAAGAGUUAAGUAAAACAUUUAAAUGUACUAAUUUGCAUCAAUACCAACCUCUUUGGGCCUGAAUAAUGUGUCCACGAACGAACGACUUGACACAAAUGUUAAACGUAUCUUAAACGUAUUCGUAAUGGCGUGCAAAGUAAAAAGGGAGGUUACUGAUGGCUAUCACAAUCUACAAUUCGUUCUAGAAUUGAUUCGUACCUAGUUAAUAUCGUAAGCGACAGUCACAGUCUUGCUGUAAUUAUUUGUUUACAAAUCUUGCAGCUUGUCUUUGAAUGUUUUCUAAUUUAUCUAUAUCCUUCAGAUGGUAAGGGUUCCAUACACUAGAACAGUUUUGUUAAGUUUGGGGGUUAGAGGUCCUACAGGAUUAUUUAGCCAUGAAAUUCGGCUCAGAAAAAUAAGAAGUCAAGUAGAUUUCACAACACUUUAUAUGAGGUAUAGGAAAACUAAAUAUAUAUGAUGUACAAUAGGUGUACAAGCACUAAAAUAUGAAUACAUACCACACCCCCACACUUACUUAAAACUUAAUUGUAAAAGUUAAGCAAAAAUGUUAUUUAAGGUGAUAUUAUUAAUUGAAAUAACAUGUUCAUACAUUAUUUUUGUUUGAAAAUAUUAUCAAAUUAAAAUAUUCCGAACACAGGUUUACAAUCUAGUUAUUAAUAUAAAGAUAUAAUUAUGUAAGUCUGUUUAUUCAUACAUGUACACAACAUAUCAGCAUAUGAAAAGUAAUAACUACAACUAGUAAAGAAGACUAGAAAACAAAAACUAAAUAAACUAAGUUAUAAGCACUUCUUGUGCUAUGUCAAGAUCAUGCCUGGGGAUUAUUAUGCCCCUUAACACCUGUGAUCUGAUAAAUCAAACACUCUUGACCUUAAUAUAAUCCAGAUUCCACACAUGCAAAUUAUUGUGCCCCUGUUUUGGAAUGAAUGACAGAUCCAACUUAUCCGUUGUUCUUUUACAGUGUGAUUGGAACGUCGUAGUUUUGGAAUGUUGUAGGUCCACAUGUAGCUGUUGAGCACUGGGUUUGUUUGAAUUAUGUCCCUGCUCUGGAACACAUUCACCACUUGAUCUUGAUCUGGAAUCACUAUGAACACUUGUUUAUUCCCUACACUGGUGUCGGAAACUUCAACAGGUGUGGGGUAGAUAUCUGCUGAUCUAUGUUGAUCAGCAUGUCUUCUCCAUGUUACUGGUUCCUUUUGUGUCUUAAUGACACCAGGAAUCCACUUUUCACAUUUCUUGUGAUAAUCUCUUACUAUUACCACAUCUUGUAUUGAAUAGUUCCUGUCCCUUUUUCCGUUGAGAUUUUCCCAUGUGAUUUUCUAAGCUCAGUUUGAACUUAUCUAGCAGGGUCACCAGAGCACGACCAAACAUUAGUUUGGCUUGUGUUUCCUGAGUUGUCGAGUUCUAUGUUCCUAUAUUGCAUAAGAAAUCUUGACAAGUUGGUCUGUAAAGUUCCUGAAUCAUUUGUGAAGGCUAGAGCUUGUUUAAAUGUCUGAACAAAUCUUUCAGCUAAAUCAUUUGUUUUUGGAUGGUACGGUGCUGCAGUUAUGUGACUGACGCCAUUCUUAUAAGAGCUACAGCUACUUGUUUAUCAUCAUUAAGUGACUAUGUAGGCCAAGAACCAUAACUGUAACCUGCAUUUUGUCAGAAUUAUGGUCCCUUUUUGUACUUAGAAAUUCUGAACUACAACACUUUUCUUACAUACUGACCAGCACACUUAUAAACUAUUUUGGCCGAAUUAUGGCCCUUUUUGGACUUUGAAAUUGGUUCAGUUUUUGUAUAAGUCCAUGAUUUGUCAAAACUAUUUGACGUGUGGCUUUGAAACUUUUGAACACUUGUUUAUCAUCAUGAUCUCCAUCUGUAGGCAAGAGUACAUAACUCUGUCAACUCUUUUGGCUGAAUUAUGGCACUUUUUGGACUUAGAAAUCAGUUAAAAAAAUUAUACCAGUCCAUAUUUUGCCUAAUCUUUUUGUCAUAUGUCUUUGAAACUUGUUUACCAUCAUAAUUUUUUUAUACCAGUCAAUAUUUUGCCUAAUCUGUUUGUCAUGUGGCUUUGAAACUUGUUUACCAUCAUUGUCUACAUAUGUAGGCAAGAUUACAUGACUAGGACAAGGACUUUAGCUCAGGUAUGGCCCUUUUUAGCUCGACUUUUCGAAGAAAAAGUAGAGCUAUUGUACUCGCCCCGGCGUCGGAGUCGCUGUUGGUUAAAGUUUUUGAUAAAGUCAAAUAUCUCUGUUACUAUCAAAGCUAUUGACUUGAAACUUAAAAUAGUUAUUUACCAUCAAAGUCUACACCAGGAGAAACAAUCCCCAUAACUCUGAUUUGAAUUUUGACAGAAUUAUGCCCCUUUUUAACUUAGAAUUUUUGGUUAAAGUUUUUGAUAAAGUCAAAUAUCACUGUUACUAUUAAAGCUUUUGACUUGAAACUCAAAAUUGUUAUUUACUAUCAAAAUCUACACCAGGAGACGCAAUUCCCAUAACUCUGAUUUGAAUUUUGACAGAGUUAUAUCCCUUUUUAACUUGGAUUUUUUUUUUUACUGGCAAAGCUCUUAUUCAGAGUCAAGCACUGAGAAAAGUCGAGCGUACUGUCUUAUGGACAGCUCUUGUUUGACAUAGAAAUUAGUUGUGUUUUUCAUACCAUUCCAUAUUUUGUCUAAACUGUUUGAUAUAUGACUUUGAAACUUUUAACAUCAUGGCCACACAUUGCCAUAUAGUGCAAGACUUAUCCAGUUCCACAAAUACAGGUAUGUUGCUGGUCUUAUAUGUUUUUCUUCUUUUGUCUCAGGUAAUAUUUUGACCCCAUACUUUCAUCUGUUCUUCAAAUAGACAGCUCUUGUUUAGAAAACAAAUUGUAUCCAAGAAAGAUAGUAGAAAAGAAGGUUACACAUAGCAGUACAACAGGCCAAGUAAUAACUUUAUUUUCAAGUGACAUACUAAGAAUACUUAAAAAUACAAACCACUUAUUUCCAUUUUGCGUAAAUGACGUACAAUGUAAAUUUCAUCUUUCGUUAAAACUUACAGCUCACCAAUUAUAAACUGAAGUUGUCUUUCCUUUUUAACAGUUUAAUUUUUGCUCAGCAGAAUUUGGUGACAGCAGAUAGUAAGCUCCAAUAUAGGGGAAGAGAAAAUAAUGGCAGAAGACAAUACAACAACAGGGGACACAAUGUGCCAGAUAGAACUAGACUACACAGUUACAAACACAGCACAAAAUCUUAAUUAUAGCACUGUCAUAUAAUGUUGUUUAUUCAAGGAAGUCUGGGUAGCAGUGUGAGCAUAUCUCGUAUGAUUUAAUAGGUAAAACAGAAAAUUUCUAAUCAUUUUAUAUAUGAAUUACUGUUUUUGAAUUGGAAAGGGAUCAUUAAUGGCUCUUAUUGAAAGUGAUGUUUUUGAUGAUGCUGUACUGUGUUAACUGCUGUAAACAGAAACAGUUGAAAUGUUCAGUAUGAUUCUCACACUAAUACUGACUCAAGGACAGGAUCUCGGUUGUUUUUUUGCAGAAACUGUUUUACCUGUAGCUCACUGAGUUACGAUUUGUAUCUCGGGAACCAUUACAUUUGAUUUAGAUUGAAAUGCUGAAAUCUACUAUAAGUUAACUAAGCUAAAAGAUUUAUUAUUGAAUGUGCAUUCGGGCAUCAGCCUUUAGAUGCUUAACUUAUUUUUUCAAAUGUUUUUUCUGUACUGCUACACACAGGAGGGUCAGAUGUUUGGUGGUGAGACACUUUAUUGUAAACAGAAAAUAGACCAGUUUCACAUAAGACAAAUAUAGCAUUCUCGGGGGGUUUCUCGCCAGAUCAGAUUGUAUCUGGAAGUGGAGUGUGUUUAAAUAUCAUGUAUUUUAUGAAUACAAGCACUCUUCUAUAAGAGUUGUUAUAUGAUAAGCCUGACUGGCAGCAAUAAAAUAGACACCUGCAUGCAAGCACACAAAGUCCUCCUUGGAAGGAAAAAAUAUUGUAGGGACGAUAUUGGCCACUAAAAGCUGUGAUCAUAUUGUACAUUUAUAAUAUUGAUCUAUUUAACUUAUUUAUUGAAAUGGUAAAUGCAAUUGGUUUUUAUAUUGUUAAAAUCUGUUAUAUCUUUUAAUUACUGUGAGAAUCAGUGUGCAUGUACUGGUGUAUCAUACUGAUAUCUUACAUGUCUGCAUUCUGUUAAUGAUAUCUAUGAUCAAAAUGUCUCCCACAAGUAGUGGGGGAGACAUACUGAUUUAGUGCUGUCUGUCUGUCACAAAGUUUGUCCACCCAACUCCUCCAACACCAGUGGACAGAUUUAUACCAGGCUUCACAAGAGUGAUUAUUGUCAAGCCUAGUUGUGCAUAUCUUCAGCAUUUUUCGGUUUGAUCAUUUUCAGCGGAGUUGGCCCUUGGUUCAUCAAAUUUUAUGUUUUUGCCACUUCACUUCCAUUAUUUGGCAGAUUUCCACCAGGCCUUACAGGAGUAAUCAGUGCCAAGACUUAUUUCACACAUCGGUGUCUUCCGGUUAAUGUUUUUCAGAGGAGUUAGUUCUUUUUUGUCAGAUCUUAUAUUUUGGCUAAACCUUAUAGGAAUUAUCAGUGUUAAGUCUAGUUAUACAUGUCAUUGGUGUUUUCUGGUUUAGUGUUAUUCAUCAGAGUUAUGGCCCUUGAUUUGUCUUAUUUCACAGUGUACUUUCUCCUUGCUAUAAACAGUUAGGCUGAAUUUCACCAAACCUCACAAGUGAGUAGUGUGAAGCAUAUGUUGUGCAUGUUAUUGUCAUGUUCUGAUCAAGUUAUUUUCAGUGGAGUCAUGACCCUUGAUUUGCCAAAUUUUUAUGCCCCCGGCAUCUACUGAUGCGGGAGACAUAUAGUGAUUGUCCUGUCCGUCUGUACGAGGUUAACCAAAUGGGACAGUUUCGUCUAGCAUCAAUACCCCUUACUAGAUGACUUGAUACUAAUGCAGAUGUAACCUGUGACUAUGCCUCAUCUUCAAACAGCACCUGACCUCAGUUUGACCAUGACCUUGACCUCAUUUUGGACUUCAACCUAAGGUUGCUUAUAUGGGCCAUCUCUUGGUUAACCAAAUGGGACCGUUUCGUCUAGCAUCAAUACCGCUUACAAGAAUGAAUUGAUACUAAUACAGAUGUAACCUGUGACCAUUCCUCAUCUUCAAACAUCACCUGACCUCAGUUUGACCUUGACCUUGACCUCAUUUUGGACUUAGGUUGCUUUAUAUGGGCCAUCUCUUGGUUAACCAAAUGGGACCGUUUCGUCUAGCAUCAAUACCACUUACAAGAAUGAAUUGAUACUAAUACAGAUGUAACCUGUGACCAUUCCUCAUCUUCAAACAUCACCUGACCUGUUUGACCUUGACCUUAUUUUGGACUUGGGUUGCUUUAUAUGGGCCAUCUCUAGGCAUCAAGCGUUUAUUGAAUGCAGCUCCUUGUUAUGCCCCCGAAGGGAGGCAAAUUAAUUUUCAACUGUCCGUCCGUUCGUUUGUUAGUUCGUUCGUCACAACGUUAACUUUUUGCAUGAAGGCACUUUACUCAUGAACCACUGCACCCAGGACCUUCAAACUUCCCAUGCUGACAUUACUUAUUGGGUACACGACCCCUACUGACUUUGGGGUCACCAGGUUAUAGGUCAAGGUCACCAGGUCAAAGGUCAAGGUGCUGCGUGGGCAUUUGUCACCAUUAGUGACAGCUCUUGUUAGCUCGACUAUUCAUAGAAUAGUAGAGCUAUUGGACUCGCCCAUGCGUCGGCGUCCGCAUCGGCGUCCGCGUCCCGAUUUGGUUAAGGUUUUGUAUGUAAGCUGGUAUCUCAAUAACCACUUGUGGGAAUGGAUUGAAACUUCACACACUUAUUCACUGUGAUAAACUGACCUACACUGCACAGGUUCCAUAACUCUAUUUUGCUUUUUUACAAAAUUAUGCCCCUUUUUCGUCUUAGAAAUUUUUGGUUAAGGUUUUGUAUGUAAGCUGGUAUCUCAGUACUUACUAAUGGGAAUGGAUUGAAACUUCACAUACUUGUUCACUGUCAUGAUCUGACAUGCACUAAGCAAGUCCCAUAACUCUGCUCAUUUUUUUUUCAAAAUUAUGCCCCUUUUUCGACUUAGAAAUUUUUAGUUAAGGUUUUGUAUGUAAGCUGGUAUCUCAGUAACCACUUGUGGGAAUGGAUUGAAACUUCACACACUUGUUCACUGUGAUAAACUGACCUACAUUGCACAGGUUCUAUAACUCUAUUCAAAAUUAUGCCCCUUUUUCGACUUAGAAAUUUUUGGUUAAGGUUUUGUAUGUAAGCCGGUAUCUCAGUACUUAAUAAUGGGAAUGGAUUGAAACUUCACAUACUUGUUCACUGUCAUGAUCUGACAUGCACUAAGCAAGUCCCAUAACUCUACUCUUUUUUUUUUCAAAAUUAUGUCCCUUUUUUUGACUUGGCAGUUUUUGGUUAAGUUUUUGUAUGUAAGCUGGUAUCACAGUAUCCACAAAUUGGAAAGGAUCGAAACUUCACACACUUGUUCACUGUCAUGAUAUGACAUGCAGUACAGAGGUUCAAUACCUCUACUUUGCAUUUUACACAAUUAUGCCCCUUUUUCAACUUUUGUAUUAAUUCAAUUGACAAGGCUGUUGAAUAGUCGAGCGUUGCUGUCCUCCGACAGCUCUUGUUUUUUAUCUGUGCUACUUCUCUGAUACCACUGGUUGAAAUUCCAAAAAGCUUCAUAGGAGUUACCACUGCCAAACCUAUCUGUAUAUAUGGUUGGAAUGUUCUGGUUCAUUGAUUUUCCUUGGAGUUUCGGUCCUUAAUUUGUGGCAUUUUACAAUUUUUAUGUGGUAAAUGGUGGGAGACAUAUUUUUUGGUGAAAACAAUCUCUAGUUGUGUUAAAUUUGUGUGAGCAAUAUUUAACAGCAUUUUUAGUUCACGAACUGAAGGUUCAGGAUGAGCUAUUAGUAUAUAUGGAAGGUCCUGUGUCCUUUGUCCAUAAUUCAUUCAAACAUUUUCCAAAACUACUGAUUGCUGUAUUUAUUGUGUACAUGUAUUUAGAAGCUUUGUUUGAAAUAAAAGGACGGCAUGGUUUUGUAACUAUUUACAAUUGUAAUCAAAAUGAUCUUGAAUGACCUGUCUUAUUGUUUCUGGAAAUAUUUCACUUGCUGAUGAUAUGCCAAAGUUUAGCCUUUUAUACCUAUAUAUUCCCUUAUGCAUAUUGAAAGUAGUUACAUAUCUGGAUUCCGGAUGUAAGACUAGCUGGUGAUAUCCAGACUGGAGAACGAGUUUACUGAAGAUUUUCGAUCCAUUUAAAUCGUUCAGAAUUUCAUCAGUUAUUGGCAUAAGAUGUCUUUCUUUUUCAGUUGCUUUGCUGGCCUCUCUCAUAUCCACAUAUAAUCGUAUUUCGUCUGGGUUCUUCUUGGGUGGGGUAACAAUUGGUGAUAUCCAGGAUGCUGGUUCAUUAAUAACUUUUUCAAUGAUGUCUUGGUCUAUUAGCUUGUCAAGUUCUUUUUCUACCUUAUUUCUGAAAGGGGUCCUGCGAUUUCUUUGUGCUACUGGUUUUAUUUCAUUGUUGUGUAAUUUUACUGUUCUGUCUUUUAAUUUACCUAUUCCUUGAUAAAUUCCGGAAUAUUUUUCACCCAAGUUAUCUUCAUUUUUGUCCAGUCUGUGAAUAAUCUCGAUAACUUUCAGCUCAAGGGAAGUUAACGUUCCAUGAUCUCCUUUAACAACAUAGAAUUUUGCUAAUGUUAUUAUAUUGUUUUUCUCCACAGUUAUUUGACAUGCCCCGAGCAACUGCAAUGGCAUACAUCCACCAUAAGGGAGAAGUUUCAGUAUAUUUUUGGUUGAUAGCCUUGGACUUCCUAACUUUCUAUAAGCACUUUCAUCAAGUAUGUUAACUGUUGCGCCAGUGUCUAUUAACACUUUUAUGUCCCUAUCGUUAAGCUUAAUGUUGCACUUUGGGGAUCUUUCAUCCUUUCUUCUUAUUUAAUAUGCGUAUUCUUCAUAUAUAGUACGUAUUUUAACCUAUCGCUACCUGUUAAAGAUUAUUGUGUGGACUUGGAACUUUUUCUUUUUGAACUUUUUUUUUUUGAACUUUUUUUCAAGAUGAACUUCCCUUUGUUGAGACUAUAAAUAAAUCAUAUUGUAACUUUUUUAUAGUUGACCAAAGGGAAAAAUCAAGACCAUUUUUUCUGUGGUACAACAUAGAUGUUAAUUUUAAAUUUUAGGUGUAUUUUAAGGUAUCUCUUCCUGGUAUGGACUUUUUUGUGGUCUUAGAAAAACAAAACUUACUUCCCUUUGUUGCUGCUAUAAAUAGUUUAUUCUUGAAACUUUUUAACCUGGUUGUUAGAAUUGGAUAUGUCAUUGUUUUGGCUUACUUACCAGAUUUAUACAGAAUAUGUUUUACUGUAACAUCUACAUGACGGACGUAUAUUGUGACAUUCUGGCACUCUUGUUAUUUUUUGUUCAUGCCAAGAUGCUGUAUUGGCAUGCAGUAUGUUCUAUGAAAAAUGUCCUUAGGCGGGGGAUGUUGGUAACUCUGUUACAAAUUCUUGUUAAUGAUGGCUUUAAUUUGGUCCCCGUUCUUAUUAUGGUUCCCAUUCAUAAUGGCAGAUUAUUGAAGAAAAUAUCUGCUUUGAAAGACCCUUUUCCGUUAGAAGUUUAAGCUAGUUUUCAUUGUAAUACUGUCUUGCUGAGGGAAGCUGACAUAAGGGUUUUUGUUGGUCAGUUGAUGACUGAAUAUUUGAAUAUUCUUUCAGAAGUUUCACCAUUAUUUGAAUACCAAAACUGCUAUACAUUGCCAUCCAUACUAAAAAUAGAAAAAAUAAGCUUUACAUGGGCUUUUCUUAUGAAUUGCUUAAUGGAUCUUUAUAAAGAUCUUAAUCUCUUGUUACAACAGUAUAAUGAUUGUCAUUACUGUAUGCAGCAAUACAGUGAUGAUCAGUUUCUGCACAUACAGUUAUAUAAAAUUUAAAUAAUUGUCUUUUCUGCAUUGGUGAAACUCCUACAUGUUUGUUAGUCACUUAUCCAACUGAAAAUUACAUUAAAUACUGUAGUUGCCAUUGUAAUAUUACAGAAUCUGCUUGAACAUUAAAAGAUUCUUAUUCAUGCAGUGGUCAUGACAAGAAAACUACAAGAAUACACAGAGCAAACCCAUAGUUGCAAGUUCCAAAUCCAGAAACUAAGAAGUAAGUCAGUGUUAUAGCUGUGACAAGGUUAGAGGCCAGGGGUGUGGAAAUUCCAAUAUUUUUCACUUGUCCACGGACAAAUGAGACUUAAAAAUCUACUUGUCCGCAGUCAAAACUUACAUGCCCUGAUUUUCAACGUUUUAGCAUGCAAAUAAUUAUUUGGAUAAUAAACUACAAGUAGUAACAAACGCUGUAGCUGUUUCAAAAAAUAAGCGUUCGACACUUUAGCAAUGUGUUUGUCCGUGAGGCUGUCGAACGUUUAACAGAAGUAACAGAAAUACCUAAAAGACUGCCCAUCAUGCCAUGCGAAGCCGUGUGAGAUAACAUGAAUUUUUCUGAUUGUUAGAAAACAUGAAACUUCCUGACUCGUACGAGCGAGCCCUUUGUGCUUUGACUGUUGGCUUCGAUUUUUGUUAGCAGACGAAAUUGUUACAACGAAUUUGUCCAAUACUUUGUAAUAAUUGUUUACGUUUCCGGUUUCUAUUCGCCUAGUUAUCGUGUGCAAAAAUCACACGAGAUCUUGACAGGGAACCAAUCAGACCGCAGUGGAAGAGAUGCUAAAUUUAGAUGCAGUAUGAUUUUCCCAAAACUGGAGAAAUCAAGAGGCCCUCAGCAGGUGAAACAUCCGUUUCGUACCUCCAGUUCUUUUAUAAACUCCAUAAACUUGAAGCACUGUUCAGUGUUUUAAGUUAUUCUUUUCUCUUUUUAUUUCAAACCAGAAAAUUUGUGCUUGUCCGCGGACAAACGGAAUGCGAAAACUUACUUGUCCGCCGUCAAAAAGUCCCGAGUCGUACAAGUCAGACAUAGGAAUUCCACACCCCUGGAGGCACUAUAAACAUUCAUCCUUGGGUGUUACCUUGAUUUUAGAACUACAGAUCUUGGUCGGUAUCUCACCUCUUACUUUUAUGCAGUAAUUUCAAAUGGAUGGCUUUUCAUGAAAAUUUACCCUUGACCUUUGAUUUCUAGAACAUUAGUAAUCAGAGGACCCUGCUAAAUCAAAACUUUUUCAGCUUCGCUGUGCACAAAGUGCUUGUGAUGAACUUUUAGGAUAGUUGAAUGUCCAUUUUCAGUUGGUUGUCCACAGUUUCUUCGGACGGACAUCUCCUACAAAGCCAAUUUCUACCAAACUUCACAGGGUUUUCCUUGUGUGGUCCCCUUAUAGAUUCCUUCAAAUCUAGUCAUCCAUGAAGAAUUCUGGUUGCCAUGGCAACAAGAAGGAACAAGAGGGUCAUGAUGACCCUGAAUCGCUCACCUGAGUAAUACGAGCCACAUGUUUCAUAUGGCAAACUGACGCUAAAAUAUUAGAAAGUAGGUCAGUAGGUCACAUUCAUGGUCACUGAAAGUCAGUUUUAAGAUUGGUGUGCAAAACUGUACAUGUCAUCCAAAUUUCAAGGCUGUAUCUUAAGAAACAAGAAAGUAGGUCAGUAGGUCAAGGUCACAGUCAAGUGACUCCUAAUCCUUGGGGUAAUCGGGUAAUUAUAAUUAAACAGUCUAGGAAAUAUGAUCUGAUAAUUUCUAAAUUUUAUUCCUAUAUAACUCAUAUAACAAGUGACCCCCAGGGUGGGGCCUCUUUUCACCCCAGGGGCAUAAUUUGAACAAUCUUGUUAGAGAUCCACUGGGCAAUGCUACAUACCAAAUAUCAAAGGCCUAGGCCUUGAACUUUCAGAAAAGGUUUUUAUUUUUUUCCCCAAUAUAAGUCUAUGUUAAAUUUGGGACCCCCAGGGCAGUUCCUCUUUUGAACCCAGAGGCAUAAUUUUAACAAUUUUGGUAGAGGACCACAAGGCCAUAAAACACACCAAAUAUCAAAAGCCUAGGCCUUGCAGUUUCAGGCAAGAAGAUUUUUACAAAAAAUUCCAAUAUGAGUCUAUGUAAAACUUGAGACCCCCCUGGGCAGGACCUCUUUUCACCCCAGGGGCAUAAUUUGAAUAAUCUUGGUAGAGGACCACAAGGCAAUGCUUCAUAACAAAUAUCAAAGGCCUGGGUCUUUUGGUUUCAGACAAGAAGAUUUUCAAAGUUUUUUCCUAUCGAGUCUAUGUAAAACUUGGGACCCCACCGGGGCAGUGCCUCUUUUCACCCCAGGGGCACAAUUUGAACAAUCUCAUAGAGGACCAUUAGAUAAUGUCACACGCAAAAUAUAAAGGCUCUACGCCUUGCAGUUUUGGACAAGAAGAUUUUUAAAGUCUGCAUGGAAUUCAAUUCUUUGAACCAAUUCGAAAAGGUGCCACCCAAGGAUCAUUCCUGUGAGGUUUGGUGUAAUUCUGCCCAGUGGUUUUUAAGAAGAAGAUUUUAGAAAUCUUGACAGACACACGACUGACAACGGAUGACUGACAAUGGACAUUAAGCAGUCACAAAAGCUCACCAUGAGCCUUUGGCUCAGGUGAGCUAAAACAACUUUUAAAAUCUUCUGUUCAGAAACCACUGGCCUGAUUAGGAAAUAAUUUCACAGAAAUGUUCCAUUUCACCCUCUACUGAAUUCCUUCAAAUCAUUUGCACAUACUCAGUACGCAAAAUAAAUUUGCCUAGUUAUUACAGUCAAGUCCUCUCAAGAACUGCUGAAACGUCAAGUCAGCAAGAGAGCACAGCCUCUCCUUGUCUCAAAUCCAGCCAAAUCAUCUUUACUUUAAACUGUUUAUUGCAUAAUGCAUGUAUUAACAGAAUUACAGAUAUACAUUAACACUUGAUAAAAUUAUAUCAAUAACAUGUUGGGCCACAACUUCUGCCAAAGUUAGCAAUUGACCCUUUAACUAUUACAUAGUAUUAAUUAUUUUAAUGAAUUAAACUAUAUAUUACAAACAAGAUUGAAAGAAAAAAAAACAUAAUGUGACUGAAACUGAAGAAAAAAUAUAAUAACAGUUGAAUAUAAUGCUGCUACUGCCAUCUAUUUGUUCUAAUGGAUCCAUGGGUCAUCCAUUGUUCCUCAGUUUUGGAUAAAUUUGAUUUUAAUAAUUAUCAUUCAAGAUUAAAUUCUAGGAAUUGAUAAAAGUAACACUUCACUACUGGAUUGCUGUUAUCAUUCAUGUACAUAUACGUCUUGUCAUGUUUAAUCUAUGUCUUUGUUUUAAUGUUUUAAUUAACAUUUAUAAAGUUAAUUAGUUUUAAGCGAUUACUAUCAUGUUGUAAAUAACCAUGUAUAUAUUUCAAGAGGCUCACAGGGAAGACUGGGCUUGCCCAACUGUGUCGCCUCUAUAAAUAAAGUCAUUAUUAUUGUUA